CCGGCUCUUGUGGAGACCCUCCCCAGAGCCCAGAAAAUGUCUUCUUUGGGCUCUGUGGAGGGUUUCCUCAUGAGCCA